rnacentral:rRNA from 1 species
UGGGGAAUAUUGCACAAUGGGCGCAAGCCUGAUGCAGCCAUGCCGCGUGUAUGAAGAAGGCCUUCGGGUUGUAAAGUACUUUCAGCGGGGAGGAAGGGAGUAAAGUUAAUACCUUUGCUCAUUGACGUUACCCGCAGAAGAAGCACCGGCUAACUCCGUGCCAGCAGCCGCGGUAAUACGGAGGGUGCAAGCGUUAAUCGGAAUUACUGGGCGUAAAGCGCACGCAGGCGGUUUGUUAAGUCAGAAGUGAAAUCCCCGGGCUCAACCUGGGAACUGCAUCUGAUACUGGCAAGCUUGAGUCUCGUAGAGGGGGGUAGAAUUCCAGGUGUAGCGGUGACAUGCGUAGAGAUCUGGAGGAAUACCGGUGGCGAAGGCGGCCCCCUGGACGAAGACUGACGCUCAGGUGCGAAAGCGUGGGGAGCAAACAGG